GGUGGUAUAGCUUAGUGGUAGAGCUCUCGAAUACUGAUCGAGAGGUCCGUGGUUGAAUUCCGCUUGGCACUU
rnacentral:tRNA from 1 species